rnacentral:rRNA from 1 species
GAUCCUAGCUUGCUAGGAGGCGUCGAGCGGCGGACGGGUGAGUAACGCGUGAGAAUCUACCCAUGAGUGGGGGACAACCCGGGGAAACUCGGGCUAAUACCGCAUACGCCCUACGGGGUAAAGCAGGGGACCUUCGGGCCUUGCGCUGAUGGAUGAGCUCGCGUCGGAUUAGCUUGUUGGUGAGGUAAAGGCUCACCAAGGCGACGAUCCGUAGCUGGUCUGAGAGGAUGAUCAGCCACACCGGGACUGAGACACGGCCCGGACUCCUACGGGAGGCAGCAGUGGGGAAUCUUGGACAAUGGGGGCAACCCUGAUCCAGCCAUGCCGCGUGUGUGAAGAAGGCCUUCGGGUUGUAAAGCACUUUCAGCAGGGAGGAAGGCUUACCCCUAAUACGGGUGAGUACUUGACGUUACCUGCAGAAGAAGCACCGGCUAAUUUCGUGCCAGCAGCCGCGGUAAUACGAAAGGUGCAAGCGUUAAUCGGAAUUACUGGGCGUAAAGCGCGCGUAGGCGGUGUGUUAAGUCGGAUGUGAAAGCCCAGGGCUCAACCUUGGAAUUGCAUCCGAUACUGGCACGCUAGAGUGCAGUAGA